GCCAGCUCUAGCCAUCUUGUUCCAUUUAAGGCGGGGAAAAACCUGGGAAGCACCCGUGAAGUUCAGUCCAAAAGUAUAGGCUCACUAAAAGACAGAGACCUCAUCAUCAGCCUCGAGGCUCCUCCUCCCCUACGUACACCUUAUACCAAUCACUAAAGGCCCACUUACUACAGUUCCUUUUAUCCAGCACAUCAUGUUUGGCUUUCAGUAAAAAAUUACAAUGUGUACUCAAAGGCAAAAACACAUUUUGAAGACACAAAACAAGCACCAGAACCAGACUCCGAUCUGGCAGAGAUGUUUGAAUGAUCAGACUAAGUUUUGAAAUAACUAUAAAGGGCACAGAUGAAUGAAAUAGACAACAUGUAAGAACAGAAGGGUCAUCUAAACAGAGAGAUGGAAAUUCUAAGAAAGAAUCAAAAGGAAAUGAUAGAGAUAAAACAAAAAAAAAACCACUAUAGCAGAAAUGAAGAAUACCUUUGAUAAACUCAUUAAUAGACUGGAGGAAGGAAUUGCUGAGCUGGAGGAUAUGUCAAUAGGAACUUCCAGAACUGAAAAGCUAAGAGAAAAAUGACUG